UACAGAGGGGGCAAGCGUUGUUCGGAAUUACUGGGCGUAAAGGGCGCGUAGGCGGCCUUCUAAGUCGAACGUGAAAUCCCUAGGCUCAACCUAGGAACUGCGUCCGAUACUGGGAGGCUUGAAUCCGGGAGAGGGAUGCGGAAUUCCAGGUGUAGCGGUGGAAUGCGUAGAUAUCUGGAGGAACACCGGUGGCGAAGGCGGCAUCCUGGACCGGUAUUGACGCUGAGGCGCGAAAGCCAGGGGAGCAAACGGG
rnacentral:rRNA from 1 species